AGCUUGUUUCAUUUUUGUUUUUUAAAUCAUUUCUUCUGUCCUAACUUGACCUCUCCUAUCUCCAGUGUAGGUUAGAUGAGAAUGGAGCUGGUGAAUGAGCAGAAGAGAAGGUUGGAAGGUUGGAAGAGUCCCAGCGGAAGGAGCCCCAGUCCAUCUAAUUCCAAGCUCAUACUUCUCCCACUGUACCUCACAACUCCCUUCUACGGACUACAGUUUUUCUUAUUGUAAAUUCUUCAUUUCGUUUGGUAGCUUGGAUGAGGUUACCAAGGUUGCUUACAUAAGUUUGGAAAAACUGGGGGCUUCAUUGAGUUAGUAUGAAGAAAUAUGGAAGUCGUUGAACCCAGGAAGACCAUAAAUACAGCCACUGCUAUUCUGAAGUCUAGACUAUAUCACUACAGUGGUCCCUAGUGUGCUAUUUGGCAUUCCUUUUAAUUUGCCUCCAGUUGUAAUGAGAUAACCACGGUUUAUAAUACAGUAAAUGUAUAAUUAAAUGCAGAUGAUAUGCUAUUCCUGGCAGUACAAUUCAAGACUCUGGGUUGACACUAUCAAACUCCAUGACUACUUUGAACACAGGUCUGUUCAAAGAAAUGAAAUCCAUAGUCAACUGGAUCACUUAUGAAAGUCCAUGCUAUUAACUUUGGUGUUGAUUGGGAAAUUUAGCCAUUUCAGGCAACUUUUAUUCACUCACUCAUUUAACAAAUAUUUGUUGGAUGACUACUCUGUGUCAGGGACCAUGCUAAGCCCUGAGUAUUAACAAUAUAUGCCCAUAUGCAUCCUACAUUCUACUUGGUAAAUGGACAGAACUGGCCUAAAUAAACAAAAGGUAUUUAAUAGGAUACA
rnacentral:lncRNA from 13 species